UCUUGAACACCACCUUAUAUGAAUUCACCUUUUAAAACACGUUCUAUUUCUUUUAAAACAUUUUAAAUACAUUGAAAUGGACAAGCGAACACCAAAAAAUCUCCAGGAUCUUUUGAGGUUCGCAAUAAGUCAGAAGCAUACUGAAGGAAAUGAGUGUAUUAAAAUCGACGAGGAUGUAAGUUAAGUAAACAUUUAAAAAAUGGACCGUAAAACCAAAUACUAUUAUUACAACAAAUUUUGGAAAACUUUAAUCUUAUAACCCGUAUGUUUGCUGAUAUUCUACUUGUUAAAAAACAUUUUAUGAACAGUCAGAAUUCGGGCAGGGGACUUCUGCCCAGUUGUUGGUAAAUACUGGCCUUUUUGGGGUAUUACAAAAUAUAAUUUUAACUGUAUGUUCAGCUCCAACAAGUUUCCCAAGAUUUUAUAUAAAAAUAAAGCAAAUGUAUUUCAAAUUUAUUAGA